rnacentral:rRNA from 1 species
UACGGAGGAUGCAAGCGUUAUCCGGAAUGAUUAGGCGUAAAGCGUCCGCAGGUGGCUAUGUAAGUCUGCUGUUAAAGAGUGAGGCUCAACCUCAUAAGAGCAGUGGAAACUACAUGGCUAGAGUGCGUUCGGGGCAGAGGGAAUUCCUGGUGUAGCGGUGAAAUGCGUAGAGAUCAGGAAGAACACCGGUGGCGAAAGCGCUCUGCUGGACCUAAACUGACACUGAGGGACGAAAGCUAGGGGAGCGAAUGGG